CCUGAGAAACCCAAAAGAUCGAAUGGGGAGAUUCAUCGUCAGCUCAUUUUGUAUAUGUAUAAGUUAUGAUGCGGGUUACUACUUGUAGUAUUGCCUGCACAUUCUUGUAUAUUUAGUUGCAAGAUGUUGUCGGCGUGCACUUCUCCCCUAGUAGGACGUCGCGACCUGUUGGGUGUCGGUCUACGGCCCAAGUGAUAGCCUUUAAUGUAAUUUAAAAAACAUUGAAGAUCCUUGGUGUUUUCUGACCGGCUACUUGGCAGUAUUCGUACGGUAUUUAGCCGCUAAAUUUAUUAAGCGUCCAUAUCCAUCACAAGCGAGGCUAAUUUACUGAUAGUACGGACCUAGUGCCGUCGUUGGUAUUGGCCAGCUGUUGGUUGAUGGUAUUCUAGGACUGGCUAAAAUUAAUUACCGGUCGGCGAUGCUACUGCUUUGGGUACUUUCAGG
rnacentral:rRNA from 1 species